rnacentral:rRNA from 1 species
GACGAACGCUGGCGGCGUGCUUAACACAUGCAAGUCGAACGGAAAGGCCCUUCGGGGUACUCGAGUGGCGAACGGGUGAGUAACACGUGGGUGAUCUGCCCUGCACUUUGGGAUAAGCCUGGGAAACUGGGUCUAAUACCGAAUAGGACCACGCGCUUCAUGGUGUGUGGUGGAAAGCUUUUGCGGUGUGGGAUGGGCCCGCGGCCUAUCAGCUUGUUGGUGGGGUAAUGGCCUACCAAGGCGACGACGGGUAGCCGGCCUGAGAGGGUGACCGGCCACACUGGGACUGAGAUACGGCCCAGACUCCUACGGGAGGCAGCAGUGGGGAAUAUUGCACAAUGGGCGCAAGCCUGAUGCAGCGACGCCGCGUGAGGGAUGACGGCCUUCGGGUUGUAAACCUCUUUCAAUAGGGACGAAGCGCAAGUGACGGUACCUAUAGAAGAAGCACCGGCCAACUACGUGCCAGCAGCCGCGGUAAUACGUAGGGUGCGAGCGUUGUCCGGAAUUACUGGGCGUAAGAGCUCGUAGGUGGUUUGUCGCGUUGUUCGUGAAAACUCACAGCUUAACUGUGGGCGUGCGGGCGAUACGGGCAGACUAGAGUACUGCAGGGGAGACUGGAAUUCCUGGUGUAGCGGUGGAAUGCGCAGAUAUCAGGAGGAACACCGGUGGCGAAGGCGGGUCUCUGGGCAGUAACUGACGCUGAGGAGCGAAAGCGUGGGGAGCGAACAGGAUUAGAUACCCUGGUAGUCCACGCCGUAAACGGUGGGUACUAGGUGUGGGUUCCUUCCUUGGGAUCCGUGCCGUAGCUAACGCAUUAAGUACCCCGCCUGGGGAGUACGGCCGCAAGGCUAAAACUCAAAGGAAUUGACGGGGGCCCGCACAAGCGGCGGAGCAUGUGGAUUAAUUCGAUGCAACGCGAAGAACCUUACCUGGGUUUGACAUGCACAGGACGCCGGCAGAGAUGUCGGUUCCCUUGUGGCCUGUGUGCAGGUGGUGCAUGGCUGUCGUCAGCUCGUGUCGUGAGAUGUUGGGUUAAGUCCCGCAACGAGCGCAACCCUUGUCCUAUGUUGCCAGCGGGUUAUGCCGGGGACUCGUAGGAGACUGCCGGGGUCAACUCGGAGGAAGGUGGGGAUGACGUCAAGUCAUCAUGCCCCUUAUGUCCAGGGCUUCACACAUGCUACAAUGGCCGGUACAAAGGGCUGCGAUGCCGUGAGGUGGAGCGAAUCCUUUCAAAGCCGGUCUCAGUUCGGAUCGGGGUCUGCAACUCGACCCCGUGAAGUCGGAGUCGCUAGUAAUCGCAGAUCAGCAACGCUGCGGUGAAUACGUUCCCGGGCCU